UACGUAGGGUGCAAGCGUUAUCCGGAAUUAUUGGGCGUAAAGAGCUCGUAGGCGGUUUGUCACGUCUGCUGUGAAAACUGGAGGCUCAACCUCCAGCCUGCAGUGGGUACGGGCAGACUAGAGUGCGGUAGGGGAGAUUGGAAUUCCUGGUGUAGCGGUGGAAUGCGCAGAUAUCAGGAGGAACACCGAUGGCGAAGGCAGAUCUCUGGGCCGUAACUGACGCUGAGGAGCGAAAGCAUGGGGAGCGAACGGG
rnacentral:rRNA from 1 species